CCGGGCCGCGGCCGAGCGGCCUCGGAGCAGGGCUGCGCUCCUUUCCCGGCACCGCGCCCCUCUCCAGACGCCGGGAGCGGCCGCGUGCCGGAAAAUGCCGCCGGGGCGGCGGGGCGGAGCCCUGGCUCUGCCCGCCCCUGCUGCCGCCCUCCUUGGAAGGUCAAGGGAGCCGCCCCGUCCCGCCGCGUCCCUGGCUCGUCCCGCCGCCUCCCCGUGCUUUUCCGCCGUCUCCACUCUCGCACAAGCCCCCCGCCUCCGGGCCCCGCUCCGGUGCAGGGAAAUGCAGGAGAACACGGAAGCAUCGGGGCAGAACCGGCGCUGGAGGUGCCCGAGCCGUCUCCCGGCCCGCAGGAGCAGAGGUGCCCGCCGCCGUGAGCUGACAGGUCCAUGCUGGAGAUUGGGAGAAGGGUCCCUGCUGGUUGCUGUGUCCUCGGUGGGCAGAGAGAUCUGACCUUGGCCAGAUGGGCUGUUGCAGUAUCUCUUGGGUGCUGUGCAGAACGGAAUCAGGCAGCCAAGCCUCAGGUUUCCCUUCUCCCUGACCCUCUACGCUGCUGGUGUGGCACAGCAGAUCCUGAAGCAGAGGAGCACGUGUACAUAAAGGUAAAGAGAUUCUUUCUGUCACACCAGUAUUUGGACCUGAGGAAGGUACCAGUUUUUUUCCAGCUUUUCUACAGUUUUGAUUCUGAGUACAAAACAGCAUGAGUGGAUACUCAGAUUUCUUGGGGAAGGGCUGCGUGACAAACAUUGCUGUGAGCUUUGUGACUAGCAGAGGAUUUUCCAGGUCAUUCUUUCAUUUUUCAACAGUCCUUUGUGUGACGAGGGCUCCCAGAGUCGUAUUCUGGAGAUAUUACAAAGUGCUGCCCGUGUCACCAGAGCUACCUAUGAGCUGAUGGAGGAUCACAGCCUCCUCAUGGGGGUCCUGCACAGCUUAGAGCAAAGGUUUCUGGAGAACAAGGUGAUAAAUAAAAUUAUUUUCUUACUCCAUACUCUAUGGCUAAUAAACUUUGGAGACAAGAGAUCCCUUUUGCUGGUCACUGAGAGCAUCUGACAGCUCGUAUUUCCAAGUGCUUUAUUUAACAGGAAACUGGUUUGUUCCUUCUUGUGAGUAGGAUUGUUGGCUUUGCAUGGGCAAAGUCACUCCAGAUUUUCCAGCUAGGAAAAGAGUUAGGGAACUCUUUUAAAACAGUCCUGGAGGUAGCAAGCAGCUUGGCUUGGUAAUCCUGUGGGGAGAUAGAAGAAUAUCUGUUCUGAUUUUUGUCUUCUCUUUUUUCCACAGCUGUUUCUGUAUUCCUGACUUCCAUUUACAUUGGAGACAUGGGGCUUGGAGCACAGGAGCCAGAUAUGUUACCCGUGUCAGAUUGAUCUGCACUAGUGCAGAUUGAGUUACAGGAUGACUCAGACACUUGAAACAAGGGGAAGAAACCAUUCCAUCUCUUUGCAAAAACACUUGGCUCCAUCAGGGCAUUAAUUCAGGGGACUAACACUUAACCUUUAACAUUCUGCUCUGCUCUGUCCUCAUCGCCGUGAGCCAUGAGAGCCUCCUGAGCUGUUCUCAUAUAGACCUACCUUGUUUGGUCAAAAAUAAUCAGUAUUUUAUUACUGGGUGCAAACUCAGGGGGAAGAUUUGAUUCAACAUCUCACAGUGGCACAUUAACGCUCCAAUUUCCCUUUUCUUGAACAGUUUGAGAGACAAUAUUACUUAUGUAAUUUUUAUUUACAGGCAUUUUUAUCAUUUUGAAGAACCAAAAAGACUGUUUGUGCA